AUUGAACGCUGGCGGCAGGCCUAACACAUGCAAGUCGAGCGAGCGGCGGGCGGGUGAGUAAUGUAUGGGGACUGCCCGAAAGAGAGGGAUAACUACUGGAAACGGUAGCUAAUACCGCAUACUAUCGGAGCACCCAUGUUGGAUUAGCUAGUAGGUGAGGUAAUGGCUCACCUAGGCGACGAUCCCUAGCUGGUCUGAGAGGAUGAUCAGCCACACUGGGACUGAGACACGGUCCAGACUACUACGGAGGCAGCAGUGGGGAAUAUUGGACAAUGGGCGAAAGCCUGAUGCAGCCAUGCCGCGUGUGUGAAGAAGGCCAUAGGGUUGUAAAGUACUUUCAGUCGGGAGGCGUUACCGACAGAAGAAGCACCGGCUAACUCCGUGCAAGCAGCCGAGGUAAUAC
rnacentral:rRNA from 1 species